AUAACCGGGAGAAAUUCCGACUAAUACCGCAUACGUCCUCCGGGGGCAUCCCCUGGGGAUGAAAGAUUUAUCGGUGAAGGAUGGGCAUGCGUGAUAUUAGGUAGUUGGCGGGGCAACGGCCCACCAAGCCCACGAUAUCUAGGGGUUCUGAGAGGAAGGUCCCCCACAUUGGUACUGAGACACGGACCAAACUCCUACGGGAGGCAGCAGUGAGGAAUAUUGGUCAAUGGACGAGAGUCUGAACCAGCCAAGUCGCGUGAAGGAAGACGGAUCUAUGGUUUGUAAACUUCUUUAGUGCGGGAACAAAGCGGCGUCGUGACGCCGGAUGAGUGUACCGCAAGAAUAAGCAUCGGCUAACUCCGUGCCAGCAGCCGCGGUAAUACGGAGGAUGCGAGCGUUAUCCGGAUUUAUUGGGUUUAAAGGGAGCGCAGGCUGCGAGGCAAGUCAGCGGUCAAAUGUCGGGGCUCAACCCCGGCCUGCCGUUGAAACUGUCCUGCUAGAGUUCGAGUGAGGUAUGCGGAAUGCGUUGUGUAGCGGUGAAAUGCAUAGAUAUGACGCAGAACUCCGAUUGCGAAGGCAGCAUACCAACUCGCGACUGACGCUGAGGCUCGAAAGCGUGGGUAU
rnacentral:rRNA from 1 species